rnacentral:lncRNA from 1 species
AAAACCUACUAUUUCAAACAUCUGUCCAUCUUCAAUCUCCAACCUCCAACCAUCAAUCUUCUAUUGCUCCACUAAAUUGAUGAGGAUAUCCUUCUAUUUUUCACGAAGUGCUCGCUGAUUGAUGAGCAUCUCCUUUUAUUGCUCAAUUAAAUUGAUGGCCAUCAAUCUUCUAUUCUUCACGAAGAUCUAGAAAAAAAAUCUAAAAAAACUCUUUAGAUUUCUUUGCAGGACUGCUAAAGGUCAUAAAAACUAUUUAUGACCAUCGCUACUGCCCAAUUCUCUUUAGUUGCUCUUUCAGAUGAUUUCUCGACGGAGGUGCCUGAGCUUCUUUCGCUGCCGACGGGUGAGAAUUAGAGAUCGAAUUAGGCUCGACGGAUUGAGUCCAUCGGUGACGGUUAUGGAUUCGUCGGAGAGGAAGAUGAUGAUGGAGGAGAUAUUGUGCACAGUAGAUCUGAAAAAAUAAACCCAGAUGAUAAGUAGGUGAAAUCAAAAACAAAAGCCAAAAUAAAAAAGAAGAAGAAUAGGAGGAAAUUAGAUUUUAGAUAAUUAGGUUUAAUUAUGUAAAUAUUAUUAGUUUUAACUUUAAAAAAUAUUAAAAAUAUAUUUUUUAAAAUAAAAAAAUUAACAAAUAUAUUUUUAAAUUUUCCAUGCCUUUUUAAAUAUUUCUUCUUGGUGAUAUUUAGGAUUUCUAAGAAAAAAACAGAGAGAUAAUAAUAAUAAUAAUAAUCCUUUAAUUUCAAAAUAUUAGAUAAUUUAUAUUUUUUAAGUGAACUUAAUAUAUUUAUAUAAAAAAUAUUAAUUCAUUAAUUUUAUAUAAAUACAGUUGUAAAAAUUAUACAUUAAUUUAUUUUAUUCUUAAUUCAUUUAAUUAAUAUAUUUUAUUAUUAAUUUAUUUAAUUAUUUGUUAUUAAAAAAAAGAGAAGAGUCUAAGCUUUAAAACGGAAUUGGUGCCAUGUAGACUUUCUAAGGUGGAUCUUAUUAUUAAUAUAUUUUUUUUCUAUGGUGGAUAUUGUAUUCCACGUAAUUGGUGCCAUGUAGACUUUUUGUUAAAUUUUUAACGGAAUAGACGGUUUUUAAAAUUUUUGUAAAAAAAAUACAGUUCACUGAGUUGACCGUAAAAUUUUUUAGUCCAGUGAUGCAUUUGUAAAUCGAGCUCGAGUAGAGUAGGGAAAAGUAGAUUUAACCCCUUUUCAAACGCAUUAUAUAUACAUACCCAAUAAACAUUAACAAUAUUUACAAAUAAUAAUCACAAAAUAAUAUCCAGAUCUGAAUCAAAACAGAAAAAUCAAAAAGGGAGAGAGAGAGAGAAGAUUUGUCACCGUCGAAAUAAUCGUUGAAGAAAUCCCAAAGUUUGAGAGCAAAAUUAAAAUCAAAAUCAAAAGGUAGCUUUCUAGAUCGGAGUCAUCAACCAUUUUAGAUCGAACUAAUCAACCGAUCAAAAGAAGUAUUCUCUGUGUAUUGCCGUUUUGGGGAGUAUGAUCUAUAGUUCUGUACUAUGUAAAACUAUU